UCCUGGAUAACUGACACAAUGAGAGCCAAUCAGAAUCCACCCUCAGAAACCAUACACAGGGUAAUUAGAUGAGAGCCAAUCAGAAUCCACCCUCAGAAACCGUACACAGGGUAAUUAGAUGAGAGCCAAUCAGAAUCCCUUUAUUUAUUGUAUUUUGAAGAAGAAAAACACCAAUGACAUCUCUAAAUAUAUAAAAAAUAAUUAAAAAUUUAUAAAAAUUAUAAUGAGAUUAUGCUGUUACAUGUCAUUGGGCCUUUUUUAGUGGCUAUACCUGUAUACUGCGUAUAUCUGAGUAUACCUGCGUAUAACAGUUGGCUGCGUGUACUGUGUGUACCUGAGUAUACUGUGUGUACUGCGUGUACCUGCGUGUACCUGAGUAUACUGCGUGUACUGCGUGUACUGCGUUUACCUGCGUGUACCUGAGUAUACUGCGUGUACCUGAGUAUACUGCGUGUACUGCGUGUACCUGCGUGUACCUGAGUAUCACAUUCAGAGACUACAGAGAGAGAUAAGCAGCCGUUGGAAAAUAUGAAUUAUUGGUCGUAAACAUCUGAUGUUUUCAGCAGGUUAAUGCUAACGCGUUAGCUGUAGCAUUAGCUCAUUAGUUAAAGCCCUUCCCGGUUUCAUUAGCUAGCUCAUGUUAGCUGUAGCAUUAGCUAGCUCAUGUUAGCUGUAUCAUUAGCUACCUCAGGUAAGCUGUAGCAUUGGCUAGCUCGAGUUAGCUGUAGCAUUAGCUAGCUCAUGUUAGCUGUAGCAUUAGCUAGCUCAGGUAAGCUGUAGCAUUAGCUAGCUCAUGUUAGCUGUAGCAUUGGCUAGCUCGGGUUAGCUGUAGCAUUGGCUAGCUCAGGUUUGCUGUCACUACUUUAGAACACUGAAAUGUGACGUGUUGCUACGGCAACAAAAAGGGACAAAAGUUGAAUGUUUUUAACGUGAGAGAUUCUGUUACUGCGGUUUGAUACAGAAUGAUGCAUUUUGGGUAAUCGAGUCAGCGGGUCAUUGAUUAAUGAUUGUUUUGUAAUUGUCUGUUUUGCUGUGAAAAGGAAAGUUUUGGGAAACUAUGAAAUCAUCUUUAUUUU